GAGUUUCUCUCCUAGAAGGUGUAUAAGACAGGUUUUGCAUACCGAGAUGUUAUUGGCUACUAUUUCAUAAUCUACUGGAUAAAAACAGUACUUAUCACCACUACAGUUUUAAAUACUACACUAUUAUUUCUUCUCUGGUUCUCUUCACAUAUACCUUGUCAAGGAUUACCAAAGCGCUGCACCUACCCCCCUGUUUUUAUCCAGUUUUCUGAUCGGAAAAGAG